GAUGAACGCUAGCGGCAGGCUUAAUACAUGCAAGUCGAGGGGUAGCAAGAUUGUAGCAAUACAAUUGUUGACGACCGGCAGACGGGUGCGGAACACGUACACAACCUUCCUACAAGUGGGGAAUAGCCCAGAGAAAUUUGGAUUAAUACCCCGUAACAUAGCGAUGUGGCAUCACAUUGCUAUUAUAGCUUCGGCGCUUGUUGAUGGGUGUGCGGCUGAUUAGAUAGUUGGCGGGGUCACGGCCCACCAAGUCUACGAUCAGCAGCUGAUGUGAGAGCAUGAUCAGACACACGGGCACUGAGACACGGGCCCGACUCCUACGGGAGGCAGCAGUAAGGAAUAUUGGACAAUGGACGCAAGUCUGAUCCAGCCAUGCCGCGUGAAGGAUUAAGGUCCUCUGGAUUGUAAACUUCUUUUAUAAGGGACGAAAAAAGGUCUUUCUAGAUCGUCUGACGGUACCUUAUGAAUAAGCACCGGCUAACUCCGUGCCAGCCGCCGCAGUAACAC
rnacentral:rRNA from 1 species